GAUGAACGCUGGCGGCAUGCCUAACACAUGCAAGUCGGACGGGAAGUGGUGUUUCCAGUGGCGGACGGGUGAGGAACGCGUGAGAACCUGCCCUGGGGAGGGGAACAACAGCUGGAAACGGCUGCUAAUACGCCGCAGGUUGAGGAGCAAAAGGAGGAGUCCGCCCGAGGGGGGGCUGGCGUCUGAUUAGCUAGUUGGAGAGGCAAUAGCUUACCAAGGCGAUGAUCAGUAGGUGGUCCGAGAGGAUGAUCAGCCACACUGGGACGGGGAGCCGGACCAGGCACCAACGGGAGGCGGGAGUAAGGAAUUUUCCGCAAUGCGGGAAGGGUUGACGGGGCAAUGCGGCGGGAAGGUAGAAGGCCUACGGAUCAAGGACUUCUUUUCCAGGAGAAGAAGCAAUGACGGUACCUAGAGAAUAAGCAUCGGCUAACUCUGUG
rnacentral:rRNA from 1 species